rnacentral:rRNA from 1 species
GAUGAACGCUGACAGCAUGCUUAACACAUGCAAGUCAACGUGGCGGACGGGUGAGUAACGAGUAAAGAACUGGCCUCACAGAUAGGGACAACAUUUGGAAACGAAUGCUAAUACCUGAUACUGUGAGAGAGCUUUGCGUCCCAUUAGCUAGUUGGAGAGGUAACGGCUCACCAAGGCGAUGAUGGGUAGCCGGCCUGGGAGGGUGAUCGGCCACAAGGGGACUGAGACACGGCCCUUACUCCUACGGGAGGCAGAAGUGGGGAAUAUUGGACAAUGGACCAAAGUCUGAUCCAGCAAUUCUGUGUGCACGAUGAAUUUUUCGGAAUGUAAAGUGCUUUCAGUUGGGAAGCGGUACCCACAGAAGAAGUGACGGCUAAAUACGUGCCAGCAGCCGCGGUAAUAC